rnacentral:rRNA from 1 species
AUUUUAUUUUUGUAAAAUAAGUUAAUUUUGUUUGUUUUUAAGGAAAUUUUAAAAGUUUGAUUGUUGAACUGGAUUAGUACCCAGGUAAUCAAAAUUUAUUAAUACGGGAGUAAAUUUUUAUUUAAACCGAAAAAAUAUUGACUGACUUUAGAUUUUUCUUUGGAAUAUGUGAGAUUUUGGAGAAUCCUCCUUUAUAGAUUGUUUUUAUUGGCACAUGUAUGAUUGUUUUUUUUUAUGUUAUUUGUGGUUUUAUUAACUUUUUAUGUUUUAUAACAAAUAUGUACUUGGUUUAUAAAUUUUUUUUUCAUGUGUUACUAUUUUUAGUUUUAUUUGGAUUUAAUUUUUAUUUUUUUUUGAAAUUGGAAAAAAAAGUAAUUUUUUAUUUUUAUGUUGGGAUGAAUUAAAAAAAUAAGGGGG